UACGGAGGAUCCAAGCGUUAUCCGGAUUUAUUGGGCGUAAAGCGCGUGUAGGCGGCGACUCAAGUCGGCCGUGAAAUCUCCGGGCUCAACUCGGAGGGGUCGGGCGAAACUGAGCCGCUCGAGGCGAGCAGUGGGCAGUGGAAUUCCGGGUGUAGUGGUGGAAUGCGUAGAGAUCCGGAGGAACACCAGUGGCGAAGGCGACUGCCUGGGCUUGGCCUGACGCUGAGACGCGAAAGCGUGGGGAGCAAUCCGG
rnacentral:rRNA from 1 species